GUGUGUUUGACAGGCAAAGGACCAUGAACUGCAGCCUGCAUGGGCAGAGGCUUCUCUGGAGUCUACAUUUGAUGAAGACUGGGAAGGUCUUCCAUGAAGCCACUUGGAUAACCUGAGCCAAGAGUACACAAAAGGACACCUGCCACAGAGAAAACCUAGGGAAGCUGUGGGGGACAAUGUCUGCCCCAAACUUGCCCUGCCUACCUCAGCAUGGUUAGCUCCCCUUCCUGGAGGAGGUGGGACAGAGUAAGGGAAGGCCUGGCCCACUGAGCCUGUCCAGGGCUGCAGGUGCCUACAGCAGCCUACAGAGACAGUCAUACCACAACAGUGACAUUACAGGCCAAUCCUCCAGAAAAGGAAGGCGUUAAACUCCUGCUCUCUCACCCCAGGAACCCAGCACCCUGAGCAGGGACAUGCCUGCCCCUGUCCUGCCUGACUCUGCCUGGGGCACCAGGAUCCUCUGCUGGGCUGCCCUUUGUCUCCUGGGAGCAGGUUCAGCGGAUGUUGGAGUCACCCAGACCCCAAGAUACCUCAUCACAGAAAAGAGGGGAGAGGCCACUCUCAAAUGCUAUCCUGUCCCAGGCCAUGCCACUGUGUACUGGUACAAGCAGGCUCCAGACCAGGGCCUCCAGUUCCUCAUUUCAUAUUAUGAGAAGACAGAGAACGAGAAAGGCAUCAUCCCUGAUCGAUUCUCAGCUAAGCAGUUCAGUGACUACCAUUCUGAAAUGAACAUGAGCUCCUUGGAGCUGGGGGACUCCGCCUCAUACCUCUGUGCCAGCAGUGUAGACACAGCCCUGCAGAGCCACUGGCUUUCUGUACCUAAACCUUCCUGUCCCAGCUGA